AACGAACGCUGGCGGCAUGCCUAACACAUGCAAGUCGAACGAGACCUUCGGGUCUGUGGCGCACGGGUGCGUAACGCGUGGGAACCUGCCCUUAGGUUCGGAAUAAAUCCCCGAAAGGGGUGCUAAUACCGGAUAAUGUCUUCGGACCAAAGAUUUAUCGCCUUUGGAUGGGCCCGCGUUGGAUUAGCUAGUUGGUAGGGUAAAAGCCUACCAAGGCGACGAUCCAUAGCUGGUCUGAGAGGAUGAUCAGCCACACUGGGACUGAGACACGGCCCAGACUCCUACGGGAGGCAGCAGUGGGGAAUAUUGGACAAUGGGCGAAAGCCUGAUCCAGCAAUGCCGCGUGAGUGAUGAAGGCCUUAGGGUUGUAAAGCUCUUUUACCCGGGAUGAUAAUGACAGUACCGGGAGAAUAAGCUCCGGCUAACUCCGUG
rnacentral:rRNA from 1 species